rnacentral:rRNA from 1 species
GGGGUAAUCGAACCCUUUCUGUGCGCAGUUAAACACCAAAUAAGCAAUUCCCGCCUGGGGAGUGCGGGCCGCAAGGGUUGAAAACUCAAAGGGAAUUGACGGGGGGCCCGCACAAGCAGCGGAGCAUGUGGUUUUAAUUCGACGCAACGCGAAGAACCUUACCAGGUCUUGACAUCCACUUAAUCCCAUAGAGAUAUGGAGUGAGCUUGCUCAAAGUGAGACAGGGUGGUGCAUGGUUGUCGUCAGCUCGUGUCGUGAGAUGUUGGGUUAAGUCCCGCAACGAGCGCAACCCUUAUUUUCAGUUACUAACACGUAAUGGUGAGGACUCUGAAGAGACUGCCGGGGACAACUCGGAGGAAGGUGGGGACGACGUCAAAUCAUCAUGCCCCUUAUGACCUGGGCUACACACGUGCUACAAUGGCCACCACAGAGAGGGGCGAACCUGCAAGGGGGAGCGGAUCUCAAAAAAGUGGUCCCAGUUCGGAUUGUGGGCUGCAACCCGCCCACAUGAAGUCGGAGUUGCUAGUAAUCGCGGAUCAGCAUGCCGCGGUGAAUACGUUCCCGGGCCUUGUACACACCGCCCGUCACACCAUGGGAGUUGGGAGUGCCCAAAGUCGGUGAGGUAACCGCAAGGAGCCAGCCGCCUAAGGCAAGACCAAUGACUGGGGUGAAGUCGUAACAAGGUAGCCG